GCUUUUGGGUUUUUUUGGGUCGGGUAUAGAGGUGGGUCUUAUUGGUAUGGGUUGGAAUGGGUUCUGAGAGCUAACGGGUUGGGGCGAGUUGGGUUUUACUAACUGCGGGUUGGGUGCGGGUUGUGAGUGGGUCUUACCUAGCCUGGGUGACCGCGAGUCUCGUGACUCCUCGCGAGUCGCGAGUCCUUCGUUGUCGCCGCCGCAGGGAAGCUCCGCUCCGCUCUGCCACCUCCACCCUCCUCCUCCAGUCCUCGAGGGAUUCAGAUCCAGAUCCAGAUCUGCGGGGAGACUGCGAGGAGCAGCGGCGAGGUGUCGCCGGCGGAUCGUCCAUCCCCUCCUCCUCCAUCGGGCCAGGCGAUUCUCGGUUGCGCUCCUUUCUUUUUUUUUCUCCCCCUCCGGCGUGCUGAUUCUCGAUUCGUGUCCUGUUCUGCUGCUCUGCCGCGAUAGGGCCGGGUCUUCAAGAACGGGCGGCGGCGUUUCUCUUGAGGCGAAUUUGGCCUGCUGCGCGUUGGAGGGGUGCAUCCAGUGGUUCCUUGACCUGGUGGACACGCUGUUCGUCGACGGCGGGCAGGAUCUCUACAUCAGGCUUGCAAAGUCUGAACUAGGACACUAGGUAGGAAAUUCAGAAUCAUGGUGCUGCAGUAGCAAUACUCUGCCAUCUGUAAUGCUACCACAGUCAAGUCCAACUCGAGAUCUGUCACAAGCAUUACCGGUAUGGGCCUAGUAACUCAUCUUAACGCCAUCAGUUUGCAAAUAUGGAUGUCAACUUCUCAUCCGACUGAGGCCUCAGACACCAAUACAAGCAGCAAUGAUGACCAUUCAUCAGGAACACCAAAUAGGAGGUCUAAAGUUUGGGAACACUUUGAGACAGAGUUGGUCGAGGUGGAUGGUGCUCUGAAGGUUGUUUGCAGAUACUGCAGCAUGAAGAUGGCUAGCGGAAAAUCAGAAUCACUGAAGAGGCGUACAAGGGCCAUGGCUGCAGGAACGUUGAAUAGAGUGUCGAGUCUCGUUGGAGGAGCACUACAAGACUAGAUGAAUUUUUAUAAUCUAUUAAGCUAAUUCUGUAAUCUGUGGUUUAAUAUGGCUCAUCAUGUCAUGUUACUCUAUGGAAACUCUGAAUAUGAGCAUCACAUCUACUUUGGGGACGUUGGAAAUUCGUGCAUGUUAUUUGCCUGCUAUUAUUAGCUGAAGUUCUGCUAGAGACAAAUUAGUGCUGUACUGGUCUCCUUGUUAGUUAAAAGUAAUUUUUAUUAUUAAGUCAAUAUUUUUCU